rnacentral:sRNA from 1 species
AAAAAUAUUUUCAGCCACAAACAUGCUUUCCUGGGCUGUGUUGUUCUUUUUGAUAAGUUUUUCAUACUCCGUUCGUUCAAACAUGGUUUCUUUAUGUGAGCAUAGGAGUGACUUAAGCGCCGAAUGCGUUCCAAAAUCAACGCCAUGCAAAUUCUACGAAUAUUCAUUCUUACGUUGCGGAAAUGAUUCACUACAAUGUUGCUCAUCUGCGUGGGUGGAAAUUGAACCUCCUGAGUUUGGGUAGAAUUUGCCAUCUUCCGGAUGACUCAAAUGGUUUAUUUCCAACCAUUUUUUUUCUUUGAGAAGGACCCUCGAAGAAAAAUCAAAAUGUCUACAGUCAUCCCCAUGGAAGACACAUCUUCCCUUCAUCAUUUUAUAUACCUCAAGAUUACAUUUUUGAACAGCUCUAAACAGAUAAUUCCAACCGAAUGUCGGUUUCAUCUCGAUUUCUUCAUCGACGCGCAUUUUUAAUAGAUAAGUACCAAAAGAAUACAAAUGGUGCACCUCGUUAAUUCUAAAGGCUACAAUAAUUUUCAGGGAAGGACUAAUUCGGGUUUAAGAAUAAAAGAUUUUCUUUAAUGCCA